UACGGAGGGUGCAAGCGUUAUCCGGAUUCACUGGGUUUAAAGGGUGCGUAGGUGGGUUGGUAAGUCAGUGGUGAAAUCUCCAGGCUUAACUUGGAAACUGCCAUUGAUACUAUCAAUCUUGAAUACCGUGGAGGUCAGCGGAAUAUGUCAUGUAGCGGUGAAAUGCUUAGAUAUGACAUAGAACACCAAUUGCGAAGGCAGCUGGCUACACGAAUAUUGACACUGAUGCACGAAGGCCAGGGGAGCAAACGGG
rnacentral:rRNA from 1 species